CGCACAUUGCGCCCCUUGGUAUUCCAUGGGGCAUGCCUGUUCGAGCGUCAUUUGUACCCUCAAGCUCUGCUUGGUGUUGGGUGUUUGUCCCGCCUUUUGCGUGUGGACUCGCCUUGAAGCAAUUGGCAGCCGGCAUAUUGGCCUUGGAGCGCAGCACAUUUUGCGCUUCUGGUCAUGAUUGUUGGCGUCCAGCAAGUACAUUUUCUCACUUUUGACCUCGGAUCAGGUAGGGAUACCCGCUGAACUUAA
rnacentral:misc_RNA from 1 species